AUUGAACGCUGGCGGCAGGCCUAACACAUGCAAGUCGAACGAGUGGCGGACGGGUGAGUAAUGUCUGGGAAAAUGCCUGAUGGGGGGGGAUAACGUCCGGAAACGGGCGCUAAUACCGCAUACUAUCAGAUGAGCCUAGGUCGGAUUAGCUAGUUGGUGGGGUAAAGGCCUACCAAUGCGACGAUCCGUAACUGGUCUGAGAGGAUGAUCAGUCACACUGGAACUGAGACACGGGCCAGACUCCUACGGGAGGCAGAAGUGGGGAAUAUUGGACAAUGGGCGAAAGCCUGAUCCAGCCAUGCCGCGUGUGUGAAGAAGGUCUUCGGAUUGUAAAGUACUUUCAGCGGGGAGGCGUUACCCGCAGAAGAAGCACCGGCUAACUCCGUGCCAGCAGCCGCGGUAAUAC
rnacentral:rRNA from 1 species